AUGGCAAUCAUUCCAGCAAUGCCGACAAGCACACCUUUGAACACAAGCACUGGCAACACUCAAGUAGAUGAAACUGCCGCCGAUACUGAAGUGAAUGAUGAAACUGAUGACGAAGCACAAGGGGAUGAAGAUGGUGGGCAAUCAGAAAUCAUGGUACCUCAGCCACCGAAAAUUAAAAAAUCUAACGAGUACAGCAGAGGUGAGAUGAGGUGCUACAAGGCACGAAGGAACAAGAAGGGUAAAGGUGUUGCGCCUGUCGUUCUGGAACAAAAGAGAGGUAUCAUUCUCAAGACGGAAUGCCCUGUUCGGUUUCGACCUGGUAAAAAUUUUGACCGCCCACAGAGGAUUCACCCCCUCGAGAAGAAAUUCAUAAAGCUGCUACAUGAUUGUAACGUCGGUCCAUCAAGAAUGGUCCAGAUACUAUCACUCAUCCACAGCAAAAAUGGGACUCUGAGUAGCAUGCCCUACAUACCAGCUGACAUCACAAACCUAAAGGCAAAGUACCGUAGAGAGAGCAAGUUGGCUGACAUAGAGGCCACAAUGGCCUACUUCGAUGAGAAAGCGAAGGAAGAUCCAGAUUUCUUCUAUAGGAUAAGAUUGGAUGAUGAGGACCGUGUCAGGAACAUGUAUUGGGUGGAUGGUGCUGCAAGAAGAGCCUACAAACAUUUCCGAGAUUGCAUUUCAUUCGACGCGACAUAUCUCACUAAUAUGUACAAGAUGCCAUGCGCUCCAUUCAUAGGAAUAAAUAACCACAAUCAGUCAUUGCAGUUCGGAUGCAGACUCGUUCGGAACAAAGACACGGAUGGCUACACUUGGUUGUUCAAGACCUUAUUGGAGUGUAUGGAUGGAAUUGCUCUGAUGAACAUAAUAACAGACCAGGAUUUUAGCAUGCGUGCAGGUAUAGAGGAGGUCUUUCCGUUGGCAGUGCACAGGCAUUGCAGGUGGCACAUUAUAAAGAAGGCUGAGGAGACGCUAGGACCAUUCUUUGUUGACUGUCCAGAGCUGCACAAGGCACUCGAGUUGUGCGUGGACCACAGCUUGACAGUGGAGGAGUUUGAAAGGAGCUGGAUGGCCAUGAUUGAAACAUAUCAAGUCCAAGACAACGAGACGCUUGCUAACCUAUGGGAGAAGCGAAUGUACUGGGUGUCGGCCUACUUCAUGCAGUGCUUCUUCCCGUUUCUACAGACUACGCAGCGUAGCAAGGGGUUCAAUGCUGUUUUGAAGCGGUACGUGAGCCCUGGCAACUCAUUGCUAUAG
rnacentral:rRNA from 1 species